UAGUGGGGAAUACCGUUGGGAAACCGACGACAAUACCGCAUAAGCCCGAGAGGGGAAAGCCGAAAGGCGCUAAGAGAGGAGUCCGCGGUCGAUUAGCUAGUUGGUGGGGUAAUGGCUCACCAAGGCAACGAUCGAUAGCCGGCCUGAGAGGGCACACGGCCACACUGGCACUGAAACACGGGCCAGACUCCUACGGGAGGCAGCAGUGGGGAAUCUUGCACAAUGGGGGAAACCCUGAUGCAGCGACGCCGCGUGAGUGAUGAAGCCCUUCGGGGUGUAAAGCUCUUUCGGCAGGGACGAUAAUGACGGUACCUGCGGAAGAAGCUGCGGCUAACUACGUGCCAGCAGCCGCGGUAAUACGUAGGCAGCAAGCGUUGUUCGGAAUUACUGGGCGUAAAGAGUGUGUAGGCGGUGUCGUAAGUUUGGUGUGAAAUCUCCCGGCUUAACUGGGAGGGUGCGCCGAAGACUGCGAUGCUUGAGGUUGGGAGAGGUAAGCGGAAUUCCUGGUGUAGCGGUGAAAUGCGUAGAUAUCAGGAGGAACACCUGCGGUGUAGACGGCUUACUGGACCACACCUGACGCUGAGACACGAAAGCGUGGGUAGCAAACAGGAUUAGAUACCCUGGUAGUCCACGCCCUAAACGAUGCAUACUUGGUGUGAGCCAUUCACUUGGUUCGUGCCGGAGCUAACGCGUUAAGUAU
rnacentral:rRNA from 1 species